UACGUAGGGGGCAAGCGUUGUCCGGAUUUAUUGGGCGUAAAGAGCGUGUAGGCGGCUUGGUAGGUCCGCUGUGAAAACUCGAGGCUCAACCUCGAGAUGUCGGCGGAAACCACUUGGCUAGAGUCCGGAAGAGGAGAGUGGAAUUCCUGGUGUAGCGGUGAAAUGCGCAGAUAUCAGGAAGAACACCUAUGGCGAAGGCAGCUCUCUGGGACGGUACUGACGCUGAGGAGCGAAAGCGUGGGGAGCGAACAGG
rnacentral:rRNA from 1 species